AUCCUUUUGUAGUUCAUAAGUGUGAUGAUUGAGUGUUAACACUCAGGUGUGAGAUGUGCCUCCCUCAAACCUUUUUACAAUGUCGACACAUUACCUGUCUGACA